rnacentral:rRNA from 1 species
GAUGAACGCUGGCGGCGUGCUUAACACAUGCAAGUCGAACGGAAAGGCCCAAGCUUGCUUGGGUCCUCGAGUGGCGAACGGGUGAGUAACACGUGGGUGAUCUGCCCUGCACUUCGGGAUAAGCCUGGGAAACUGGGUCUAAUACCGGAUAGGACGAUGGUUUGGAUGCCAUUGUGGAAAGUUUUUUCGGUGUGGGAUGAGCUCGCGGCCUAUCAGCUGGUUGGUGGGGUAAUGGCCUACCAAGGCGUCGACGGGUAGCCGGCCUGAGAGGGUGUACGGCCACAUUGGGACUGAGGGACGGCCCAGACCCCGACGGGAGGCAGCAGUGGGGAAUAGUGCACAAUGGGAGCAAGCCUGAAGCAGCGACGCCGCGUGGGGGAUGACGGCCUUCGGGUUGUAAGCUCCUUUCGCUAGGGACGAAGCGUUUUUGUGACGGUACCUGGAGAAGAAGCACCGGCUAACUACGUG